CUCCUUAUUAACAGAAGUUAAUAAGGGAAAGAUUUAUUGGUAAGAGAUUAGCCUGUAUUGUAUCAGUUAGUUGGUGGGGUAAUGGCUUACCAAGACUAUGACACAUAACUGGUUUGAGAGGAUGAUCAGUCACACUGGAACUGAGACACGGUCCAGACUCCUACGGGAGGCAGCAGUGGGGAAUAUUGCACAAUGGACGAAAGUCUGAUGCAGCAACGCCGCGUGGAGGAUGACACAUUUCGGUGCGUAAACUCCUUUUAUAUGAGAAGAUAAUGACGGUAUUAUAUGAAUAAGCACCGGCUAACUCCGUGCCAGCAGCCGCGGUAAUACGGGGGGUGCAAGCGUUACUCGGAAUCACUGGGCGUAAAGAGCAUGUAGGCGGAUUAAUAAGUUUGAAGUGAAAUCCUAUAGCUUAACUAUAGAACUGCUUUGAAAACUGUUAAUCUAGAAUGUGGGAGAGGUAGAUGGAAUUUCUGGUGUAGGGGUAAAAUCCGUAGAGAUCAGAAGGAAUACCGAUUGCGAAGGCGAUCUACUGGAACAUUAUUGACGCUGAGAUGCGAAAGCGUGGGGAGCAAACAGGAUUAGAUACCCUGGUAGUCCACGCCCUAAACGAUGUACACUAGUUGUUGUGAGACUUGAUCUUGCAGUAAUGCAGUUAACACAUUAAGUGUACCGCCUGGGGAGUACGGUCGCAAGAUUAAAACUCAAAGGAAUAGACGGGGACCCGCACAAGCGGUGGAGCAUGUGGUUUAAUUCGACGAUACACGAAGAACCUUACCUGGACUUGACAUAGUAAGAACUUUCUAGAGAUAGAUUGGUGUCUGCUUGCAGAAACUUAUAUACAGGUGCUGCACGGCUGUCGUCAGCUCGUGUCGUGAGAUGUUGGGUUAAGUCCCGCAACGAGCGCAACCCUCGUGUUUAGUUGCUAACAGUUCGGCUGAGAACUCUAAACAGACUGCCUACGCAAGUAGGAGGAAGGUGAGGACGACGUCAAGUCAUCAUGGCCCUUACGUCCAGGGCUACACACGUGCUACAAUGGGAUAUACAAAGAGCGGCAAUACGGUGACGUGGAGCAAAUCUUAUAAAAUAUCUCCCAGUUCGGAUUGUAGUCUGCAACUCGACUACAUGAAGUUGGAAUCGCUAGUAAUCG
rnacentral:rRNA from 1 species